rnacentral:rRNA from 1 species
UACGUAGGGUGCAAGCGUUGUCCGGAUUUAUUGGGCGUAAAGAGUUCGUAGGCGGAUAAGAAGGUUAUUGGUUAAAGACUCCGACUCAAUCGGAGAAAGGCGAGUAAUACCGUUUAUCUAGUCCACGAGAGGGGGUGCUAGAACUUAUCAUGUAGGGGUGAAAUCCGUUGAUAUGGUAAGGAAUGCCAACGGCGAAGGCGGGCACCUGGUUCGAUGGAGACGCUGAGGAACGAAAGCUAGGGGAGCAAACCGGAUUAGAUACCCGAGUA